rnacentral:rRNA from 1 species
UGGGGAAUAUUGGGCAAUGGGCGCAAGCCUGACCCAGCAACGCCGCGUGAAGGAAGAAGGCUUUCGGGUUGUAAACUUCUUUUUAUUCGGGACGAAGAAAGUGACGGUACCGAAUGAAUAAGCCACGGCUAACUACGUGCC